rnacentral:rRNA from 1 species
AUACUGGGGGAUAACACUUAGAAAUAGGUGCUAAUACCGCAUAAGCGCACAGCUUCGCAUGAAGCAGUGUGAAAAACUCCGGUGGUAUACGAUGGAUCCGCGUCUGAUUAGCUUGUUGGCGGGGUAAAGGCCCACCAAGGCGACGAUCAGUAGCCGGCCUGAGAGGGUGAACGGCCACAUUGGGACUGAGACACGGCCCAAACUCCUACGGGAGGCAGCAGUGGGGAAUAUUGCACAAUGGGGGAAACCCUGAUGCAGCGACGCCGCGUGAGUGAAGAAGUAUUUCGGUACGUAAAGCUCUAUCAGCAGGGAAGAAAAUGACGGUACCUGACUAAGAAGCCCCGGCUAACUACGUGCCAGCAGCCGCGGUAAUACGUAGGGGGCAAGCGUUAUCCGGAUUUACUGGGUGUAAAGGGAGCGUAGACGGCAGCGCAAGUCUGGAGUGAAAUCCCAUGGCUUAACCAUGGAACUGCUUUGGAAACUGUGCAGCUGGAGUGCAGGAGAGGUAAGCGGAAUUCCUAGUGUAGCGGUGAAAUGCGUAGAUAUUAGGAGGAACACCAGUGGCGAAGGCGGCUUACUGGACUGUAACUGACGUUGAGGCUCGAAAGCGUGGGGGAGCAAACAGGAUUAGAUACCCUGGUAGUCCACGCUGUAAACGAUGAUUACUAGGUGU